GGGCGGGUAGCGUAGUGGUAAUGCGUUCUCUAAGCGUCAUCAGCGUUGAUUUAGUUUCUUCUCAGCGUUUAGCGAAAGAUCCGGGUUCGAGUCCCGGCCCGCCCA
rnacentral:tRNA from 1 species